UGGGGAAUUUUGGGCAAUGGGCGAAAGCCUGACCCAGCAACGCCGCGUGAGUGAUGAAGGCCUGCGGGUUGUAAAACUCUUGGGACAGGGACGAAGAAAGUGACGAUACCUGUAGAACAAGCCACGGCUAACUACGUGACAGCAGCCGCGGUAAUACGUAGGUGGCGAGGGUUAUCCGGAUGGACUGGGCGUAAAGGGCGUGUAGGCGGCGAGAUAAGUGUGAUGUUUAAAUCGAAGGCUUAACCUUGGGGUUCAUUACUAACUGUUUAGCUUGAGUGCUGGAGAGGGUAGUGGAAUUCCUCGUGUAGCGGUAAAAUGCGUAGAUAUUUGGAGGAACACCGGUGGCGAAGGCGGCUAUCUGGACAGUAACUGACGCUGAGGCGCGAAAGCGUGGGGAGCAAACAGG
rnacentral:rRNA from 1 species